UACAGAGACUGCAAGCGUUAUUCGGAUUCACUGGGCGUAAAGGGCGCGCAGGCGGCCAGGUGUGUUAGGCGUGAAAGCCCGGGGCUUAACCCCGGAAUUGCACCUAAAACUACUUGGCUAGAGCAUUGGAGAGGGGAGCAGAAUUCAUGGUGUAGCAGUGAAAUGCGUAGAUAUCAUGAGGAAUACCAGAGGCGAAGGCGGCUCCCUGGACAAUUGCUGACACUCAGGCACGAAAGCGUGGGGAGCAAAAGGG
rnacentral:rRNA from 1 species